CAGAAUACGUCAUGCUAAUGGGGGUCCCCCAAAACUAUUUGUUGAGUCAGUGGCCGCAGUGAGCGCUCAGUGAACCUGAGCAAUCUGAGUUAUUAGGAAGGCACUCGUUCCUGCACACCCACAUUCAUCUUUUAAAUGUUGACUGAUCAGUUUCAAUUAUUUUCUUCAUAAAGUUAUAUAUUAUUCUGUGAGACCAUUUUCUACUUUUGGACAAGAGAUUGCUUUGUAGGGAAGAGCCAGAAAGAGAUCUAAAGACAAAACUCAUCUAUCUGAGGUCCUCUUAAGAAAAGUGAAACUGAGUCAGAAGGCAUGGAGUCAAAUCCUGUGUUCCCCGCAGGGUGCCACUGCGAUGCACAUUCAGCUUAUAAUGGAACGGCUGCUGAGAAGGAUCAACCGGACAGUGAUUGGGAUGAACCGGCAGUCUCCCCACAUUGGGAGUUUUGUGGCCUGCAUGAUUGCCCUGCUGCAGCAAAUGGACGACAGCCACUAUAACCACUACAUCAGCACUUUCAAAACCAGACAAGACAUCAUUGACUUCCUCAUGGAAACUUUUAUCAUGUUCAAGGACCUGAUUGGAAAGAAUGUCUAUGCCAAAGAUUGGAUGGUGAUGAAUAUGACUCAAAACAGGGUUUUUCUCCGUGCUAUAAAUCAGUUUGCUGAAGUUCUCACAAGAUUCUUCAUGGAUCAGGCAAGCUUUGAACUUCAGGUAGGCAUGUGAUUCACCUACCUGCUUCUAGAAUUCUUGGCCAUGGCAAGAGAACUAUAUGAAUUUGGAAAAU
rnacentral:sRNA from 1 species